rnacentral:rRNA from 1 species
CACGUAGGGCGCAAACGUUGCUCGGAAUUACUGGGCGUAAAGCGCGUGUAGGCGGACUGGUGUGUCGGAUGUGAAAUCCCCAGGCUCAACCUGGGAACUGCAUUCGAAACUGCCAGCCUUGAGUGGUGGAGAGGGAAGUGGAAUUCCUGGUGUAGAGGUGAAAUUCGUAGAUAUCAGGAGGAACACCAGUGGCGAAGGCGGCUUCCUGGACACCAACUGACGCUGAGACGCGAAAGCGUGGGGAGCAAACAGG